AGAGUCAGCUGGACAAUUGCUGCCUGACCACCCGAUUGCAUGUUUUAAGCAAUAACUUGUUGGAAAUCCCACGUGCAAUGAGGUGGUCGGGUAGAGGAAAGUCCGGGCUCCGCAGAGCAGGGUGCCAGGUAACGCCUGGGGGGUGUGAACCUACGGCUAGUGCAACAGAAAAUAUACCUCUUUGUGAGGAAUCCUUAGGAUUUAUUGCAGAGUAAGGGUGAAAUGGUGCGGUAAGAGCGCACCGCGCGACUGGCAACAGUUUGUGGCUAUGUAAACCCCACCCGGAGCAAGGCCAAAUAGGAGUCUAAUAAUGUUGCUCGCAUUGGAUUCGGGUAGGCCGCUAGAAGCCUGUGGUGACACAGGUUGUAGAUGAAUAAUUGUCCUCGACAGAACCCGGCUUAUAGGCUGACUCAUUUU
rnacentral:RNase_P_RNA from 1 species